UGGGAGCAAAAGCUGAAAAGAACUUUGUAUUUCAUUAUUAACUCAGCAUCAGACAUUACAAGGGCUGCAGUUGACCACAUUUCCGUAUGACAAGAGCAGAAAGCAAACCCCAGAGUAGUCACAGACCAGAUCAGGCCACUAAGGCACUGGGAACAGGUCUGAAGCUGGAAAGAAGAGGAAUGGGGAGAGAGCCAGGCAGGGCCCCCGUGGUUGGGGGGGUCUGCUUUUCUGGCCACAAAUCCGGAUUUCUCUCGUGGAUCCUAUCUUCCCUCCCUCCACGGUAAAGGCUUCCUCCUGGGAACCCCGAGUGAAAUAAGCUGUUGUGUCUUCUAGAGCCAGGAAAGCCUUUCUUUUCUCUUUAACCAGUUCACCAGCAUGUGGUCGUGGGCUCCAGUUAGCGCCUCCCUCACAGCUUGGAUCUUGUUUGGACCAGAAGCCAGAUUAAACCCAAGGAGAGUGAAAGAGUUAGGAGCUGCGGAAGGAAGUUGGCUAAUAAGGGCCUCUUUCUUGUCUACUUGGCAAAGCCACGUGCUAGUGGCCUCCUUGGAUAGGGCGCUCUCGAAUCUUUCUACCAAGAGACCUCUCCCAGGCUUCAGCGUUGCCCUGCGGGUGCAAAGAUGAGCUCACACCCGAGCACACCAACGGGCUUUCCCAAGCGCUUACACGUGCACCCAUGCAUAGGCAGGACACACACAGCUGCCUAUUUCGGGAAAGAAUGCGAGGCGUGUUGUGCUUGAAGUGGAAACAGCUCGCAUCUACUCCAUCCUCUUCCCCUCUAUGCCGCCCACCACCCCCGAUCCGGGCUCCGGAUCCAAUCCGGGUUUUAGGAAUCCCCGCAACUCUUCUGGAGGCUUUGUGCUGAAGGGGUGCGACUCCGGGGCUGCGGUUCAGGCUGCGCCUUCUCCCUCCUGGUCCUCUGGCGGCUCCGCGUCCGGGGCUCCGGGAAGAGUUCCACCAAGCCCGGGUGGCGCCAGACGAUCCUAAUUCGAGAGCUGGAGUCAAACUCGCGCAGCAGAGGGACCGUGCAGCGAUACCUCACAAAAAUAAGCCAAUGGGAUACCGCGGACAAAUACAUCAGCGGACACCGCUGCAGUCCAGGAGACUCUCCAUUAAAACCAUCAGCGCUUUCCCUGUGGCUUUCUGUCCCUCGAAGUGAAAAAAUGAAGUUUCCGUAAAGUCCAGGGCAAGAACCUGCAGCGAAAUAAGUCCAGGGACUCCCGGAGAAACUGGGAGAGAGUGCUUCCAUCUUCAUUUCACUUUAAACUUGGCCGCUUUCUGGGACUUCACUGAGGGGCGGCGGAGUCGCACCAGCCUGGACCACAAGCUGAUUCCAGCGAGCACUUCCAAAUACUUUAGGACGCGGGGGUGACUCCUUUUUUCUUCAGGAUUGUCCCACUUGCCACCCUUCCCUGCUGAGCGGAUAGGAACCGCUUAAGACCGGGAGAUAAAGGGCGGACCGAGGUGAGCAGGGGGCACACUUAACCAGCUGUAAGAAGACCAGGGCUGGGAGCAGAGCAGUUAAAAUAUCUCCUUGGGUGGUUCUAAGAGGGUGUGUGUGUGUGGUUAUAAGAGGGUGUUGGGGGGUAUGAGAGGGGUGUGUGUGUGUGUGUGUUGCAAAAGAAAGAUGAAAUCCAUGUCUCUUUAAUGUGGGGAGUAGUGAUGUGUAACUUUACAGUGUUCUUUUAUUUUGCAAGCCCUACCAAGCUCACAAAAACAUCCUCUCUUCCUUUAGUUUAGCCUUCCUGUUGUACAUUAUACAUUAUAUUUGAAAGUGCUUUCCUCAUUUAAUCUUAUCUCAAGAAAGCACUCUCUGGCAAAGCCAUGUACCCUCCCCUCCUAUCCAGUCUGAUUAGAAUUUGCCAAUAGAAAGGAAGAAGCAAGCUUUGCUUUAGUUUGACAGUAGAAGGUGGCAAGACUUUCCAGGAGAAGCUAUGAUAUUGUUUACCAAAUGAUCUCAAAGUUAACAGAGGGUAGUUUUUAUUCUUACCUCCACCAAAGAAAGGCCUCUGAAAAUAAAUAAAUAAAAAGAGAUUACAGUUUCUACUUUGCCCAUGUAAUUAUUGGCAUUAACCAACUCAAAAAUUUGUAUACUUUUAAGUAUCUAAACAAUCUUAAUUUAUUCCCAAAUCCCAUGUCUACACCAUGUCACUUUUAAAAUUACGUUAAAUUUCUUUCUCUCCCAAAUUGUUCUUGUAUGGACCUGUAGUCAUAAAUGUUGGACUAUAUUUUCCCAGAAUAAUUCAGAAUUUGAAAAAAGUUGAGUUUUGCUAAUUUCAGACAGUAAAUGGAAAUAUGAAUGUUUUGCAGUUGUAAUGAUGAAUACUGAAAGAAAAGUUUCUGAUUAUAUUAUUAUUUAGCAUUUUUUUCUAAGGCAGUGAGAAAGGUACGAUUUACUCUAUUUUAAAAUUGUUUUUAACAAUUUGCUUACCUCAUGAAUUUUCUUAUUUCUGUGGUUUGAAGUAUAUGAUGAAUUGUCACUUUAGUUCAUUUUUUUGUUUGAUCUAUGCUUUAAAAAGCUUAUUUAAUUUGGAAUUGUCUCCACAUUUUCUGGGUGAUGAAUUGGUGUUGUGAAGAGUCUUAGAUUAUUUUUCCCAAUAUAAAGUUCUCUGUAAUUCAAGGCCAGAAAAUGAUGUGAAAAAACAACCAGGAAAUACAAGUUUCUGAAAUGAAGAAAUAACAUUUUUUAAAAACUUAGUUAACAUAUAAUAAAGGAAAUCCAACCUCAAGCUUUUUAACUAUCAUAGCUGUGCCCUACAUACCUCUGAAAUCUAAAAAGAGAUCUGCUUAUCUUAGAAACACAUUUUUGAUGUUAUACCUGACUAUAAAAGCCCUAAGGUACAAAUUGUGCUGGCAGUUGCAUCUUACCUUCAACUGGGCUUUCAACAGAGUUGCAGAUUCAGCAUAUUUCUGUCAUAAAUAAACAGAUUUCUCAUUUAUCUAUUUUGGAUCCCCCCUAAAAUCAAAUGCGUUUACUAACUUAUUUCUGAGCUACAAAAGAUAUUUCCCCUUUUAUUUUUAAAUAAAAAUAGAGGUCUGAUUUUUUUCACCUGGUCUUGUGUAAAGCAUACAUUUACUAUCCCUUCUUCCUGAAUCUUUGUUAUAUUUUGUAACCUCUAUGGAUCAUGAUAACAGCAUACUAGGUGAUUAAGGUCUACCUCAAGAAAGUUGGAACUAGCACUGAGAAUAAACUACUGGGUUGUUUUACUAA